CAUGUCUUUUUGAUUAUAAUUUAAGGUUUAAUCUGCUCAAUGAGGAUUUAAAUUGCCGCGGUAUUUUGACCGUGCAAAGGUAGCAUAAUAAUUAGUUUUUUUAUUGAAAGCUGGAAUGAAUGAUUGGACGAGAAAGCUACUGUCUCUAUUUAAUUUAUUUUUUAAUUUUACUUUUAAGUAAAAAGGCUUAAAUUUUUUUUAAAGACGAGAAGACCCUAUAGAGUUUAAUAUUUAAUUUAGUUUUGUUUUCUUGGGAUUAAAUGUAAUUUAAGAUUAUUUUAUCUAUUUUGUUGGGGUGACUGGAAGAAUUAAAAAACUCUUCUAUAUUAAAAUCAAAGAUUUUUGAAUUGGUUAUCUAAUUUUUUUAAAUUUAAUACAAAUUACCUUAGGGAUAACAGCGUAAUUUCUUUUUAGAGUUCUUAUUGAAAUUGAAGUUUGCGACCUCGAUGUUGGAUUAAAAUUUAUUUUUGGUGCAGAAGCUUAAAAAUUGAGUCUGUUCGACUUUUAAAAUUUUACAUGAUCUGAGU
rnacentral:rRNA from 1 species